UACGUAGGGGGCAAGCGUUGUCCGGAAUCAUUGGGCGUAAAGAGCGCGUAGGCGGCCCAGUAAGUCCGCUCUGAAAGUCAGAGGCUCAAUCUCUGAAUGCGGGUGGAUACUGCUGGGCUAGAGUCCGGAAGAGGCGAGUGGAAUUCCUGGUGUAGCGGUGAAAUGCGCAGAUAUCAGGAGGAACACCGAUGGCGAAGGCAGCUCGCUGGGACGGUACUGACGCUGAGGCGCGAAAGCGUGGGGAGCAAACAGG
rnacentral:rRNA from 1 species